UAGUGAGUGAGCUUGUCUAUGUGUGUGUGUGUGCCUGCUAGUGAGUGAGCUUGUCUGUGUGUGUGUGUCUGCUAGUGAGUGAGCUUGUCUGUGUGUGUGUGUGUGUGUGUGUGCCUGCUAGUGAGUGAGCUUGUCUGUGUGUGUGCCUGCUAGUGUCUCUGUGUGUGUGUGCCUGCUAAUGAGUGAGCUUGUCUGUGUGUGUGUGUAUGUGCCUGCUAGUGAGUGAGCUUGUCUGUGUGUGUGUGUGUG